rnacentral:misc_RNA from 1 species
GCAAUAUGUUACACGUUAUUGCUAUAUGAGGAGUCAUUUCUAUCAGAGAUAUAUAACUAAUUAUUAGAUACAUUUGCAGUACUAAAAAAUAGUACUUUUUUAUACACAAUAAAAUAGCUUUUUUCUUAAUUCUACGAAGGUAGAAUUCGUGUUUUCUGAACAAGAACAUAUGGACACCAGGCGCACUUAAUAAUAUCUCGAUAUUUAUAUUCUUCAAGAAUUUCAAUUACCUUUCUCAUGUUUGGUCGAGAAGCUGAAGGUUGAUAUAAACAAUCUGCAGCACAAGAAAUCAUUUUGUGUAAUUCUCUUUCAUCAUAAGCCCCUUGUAAUCUGGAAUCAACAAAAUCUAUAUAUUUCUUAUUCUUCAAAGCUUCUUCAAUCCGAGAUU